CUGGCCUUGUUCACAUGCUAUUCCUGGAGUUCGCGAGGGGUCUGGGAAUGUGGUGCUUCAGGCACAGCAAAAGGGUCAAUCUGUCUUUUAUGGGCUUGUGUUCCUCCAGCAGUGCCUUUUCCUCUUCCCUGAUAUAGGUUCUGUUCAUCAUCCUCUUCCAGAAGAGCCCUUUUUCAGCAUGGUUGAACCCUUGCUGACCGAUGUAUCUUUCUGCUUUCAUGAACUCCAUGAAUUCUUUCUUGCAGACUUCUGCAGCGGCCUUGUCAGAACUGGUAAAGAAGUCAAGAUUUUAGACUUCGCCAUCUAGUACUCUGAGUCCAGAUCAGUCACGUGAAUACCAUGCUCAUAAUUUUCUACAAUUUCCUUCUUCAAUUCAGUGGUUAUUUUCUUCAAAACCUUCGCAUCAUUCUUACUCUGCAUUCCUGUCACCUUCAUUACCACUCUGUGCUUUCUUUUUACCGCCAUGCUCACUCCGUACUUUCUCUGGAGCUAUGCUGGCUUGACCACCAUUAACUGUGCAGUACUGUAUGAGCUAAAAAGCACACAAAAACGCUUCCCAGCAAGGGCGCCCAGGUCUGUCUGCGCCUGUGAUCGGAACUAGAGGAAGCCACGCCCACACGUCAGAGCGGGAAGAUGGCGGCGCUCAGAGGAUGAUGGCCGCAGUCGUGUUCGUCUCUGACGAGGAGUUUGUGAGCGGAGGCAAACUUUUGCUGAACAUUUCUGUUCGUGAACCGAUUUGUUUGCAAACAGAAGCUUUCGAGAACUGAGCACAUUGCCCUGUGCCUGGCACGUUGCAGUAAAUCCGUACGGAGGGAAGCAGUCGGGCAGGCAAGCUGGCAGGGAGGCCUGGAGAAGUACGCACAGUCCCAGAAUCCACGAAGCAAGGCCAGGAGCCUGCAAGUGCAGGUGGAAAUUUUUCAAAUCCCAUGACGAGGGCAAUCGCAUCUACCAAAGCCGUUCUCACCAUGUGAUGCAUCCGCCAUGUUGUGACAGAGGCUGGCACCAUGCUGUUUGGACUUGCAAGCCAUUAGAAUCGUGUGAUCAAAACGAUGGUGAAUGCUGCCGCCGAGUGCCAUCCCACAGAAGGGCCGGCUCAGAACAACAUUACAGUGUGUCUUCAUCUUAUUCACUAGAUUUUGCAUCAUGCAACAUCCAGCUCCUUCUCCAAGUUAAAAUGAUCUGAUCAGGAAAGGUAAAUAUUUUCAAGAAGUUCAGGGCAUUGAGGCAGCCAUAUCAGCACAACUAAAGACACUUACAAAGGAGGACUUCCAGAGCUGCUUCAGAAAGUGGCAAAAAUGAUGGGAUGAGUGUGUCUGAAAUAAUAAGUCCCCCUUGAAGGGGACUAUUUUUGAGUCUCUUCUUGUAAUACAUUUUAAAAUUUUAAGCAUUCACUGUAAUUUCGGGGGACUGGGGAUAGAACUCAGCACCUUGCGCUUGCGAGGCAGACAGCUCACUGUAGUUUUUGAUCGUUCCAUUAUACAUAGAUGGAUGGCCAUGGGCUUGCAAGCUCAAGGGAGUGAUGUCACUCUCUCCAAAAGUGUCGGUCCACCCACAUAGAAGCUCUCUGGGAGCAGCAGAGUCCCAGGAAGCAGCUAGGGUGUGGGGAGAGCUAGGGUC
ensembl:lincRNA